UCCUAGCCCUGAUGGGAACGGCAUCCUUUUGUGGCGGGGUUCGCCACAAAAGAUAUAGUGGACAGCAGGACUGGCU
rnacentral:sRNA from 1 species